ACGAACGCUGGCGGCGUGCCUAAUACAUGCAAGUCGAACGCUUCUUUCCUCCCGAGUGCUUGCACUCAAUUGGAAAGAGGAGUGGCGGACGGGUGAGUAACACGUGGGUAACCUGCCCAUCAGAGGGGGAUAACACUUGGAAACAGGUGCUAAUACCGCAUAACAGUUUAUGCCGCAUGGCAUAAGAGUGAAAGGCGCUUUCGGGUGUCGUUGAUGGAUGGACCCGCGGUGCAUUAGCUAGUUGGUGAGGUAACGGCUUACCAAGGCCACGAUGCAUAGCCGACCUGAGAGGGUGAUCGGCCACACUGGGACUGAGACACGGCCCAGACUCCUACGGGAGGCAGCAGUAGGGAAUCUUCGGCAAUGGACGAAAGUCUGACCGAGCAACGCCGCGUGAGUGAAGAAGGUUUUCGGAUCGUAAAACUCUGUUGUUAGAGAAGAACAAGGACGUUAGUAACUGAACGUCCCCUGACGGUAUCUAACCAGAAAGCCACGGCUAACUACGUG
rnacentral:rRNA from 1 species